CCUACGGGAGGCUGCAGUGGGGAAUAUUGGACAAUGGGGGGAACCCUGAUCCAGCCAUGCCGCGUGUGUGAAGAAGGCCCUCGGGUUGUAAAGCACUUUCAGUGAGGAAGAACGCCUGGUGGUUAAUACCCAUCAGGAAAGACAUCACUCACAGAAGAAGCACCGGCUAACUCCGUGCCAGCAGCCGCGGUAAUACGGAGGGUGCGAGCGUUAAUCGGAAUUACUGGGCGUAAAGCGCGCGUAGGUGGCUUGAUAAGCCGGUUGUGAAAGCCCCGGGCUCAACCUGGGAACGGCAUCCGGAACUGUCAAGCUAGAGUGCAGGAGAGGAAGGUAGAAUUCCCGGUGUAGCGGUGAAAUGCGUAGAGAUCGGGAGGAAUACCAGUGGCGAAGGCGGCCUUCUGGACUGACACUGACACUGAGGUGCGAAAGCGUGGGUAGCAAACAGGAUUAGAUACCCGGUAGUC
rnacentral:rRNA from 1 species